GAUGAACGCUGGCGGCGUGCCUAAUACAUGCAAGUCGAGCGAACAGACGAGGAGCUUGCUCCUCUGACGUUAGCGGCGGACGGGUGAGUAACACGUGGAUAACCUACCUAUAAGACUGGGAUAACUUCGGGAAACCGGAGCUAAUACCGGAUAAUAUAUUGAACCGCAUGGUUCAAUAGUGAAAGACGGUUUUGCUGUCACUUAUAGAUGGAUCCGCGCCGCAUUAGCUAGUUGGUAAGGUAACGGCUUACCAAGGCAACGCUGCGUAGCCGACCUGAGAGGGUGAUCGGCCACACUGGAACUGAGACACGGUCCAGACUCCUACGAGAGGCAGCAGUAGGGAAUCUUCCGCAAUGGGCGAAAGCCUGACGGAGCAACGCCGCGUGAGUGAUGAAGGUCUUCGGAUCGUAAAACUCUGUUAUUAGGGAAGAACAAAUGUGUAAGUAACUAUGCACGUCUUGACGGUACCUAAUCAGAAAGCCACGGCUAACUACGUG
rnacentral:rRNA from 1 species